UUUUUUUUUUUUUUUUUUGGUCUUUUUACCUUUUCUAGGACCGAUCCUGUGGCAUAUGGAGGGUCCCAGGCCAGGGGUCUAAUCGGAGCUAUAGCUGCUGGCCUACACCACAGCCACAGCAAUGCCAGAUCCGAGCCGAGUCUGCCACCUACACCACAGCUCACGGCAACACCGGAUCCUUAACCCACUGAGCAAGCCAGGAAUUGAACUCUCAACCUCAUGGUUCAAUCCCUGGCCUUGCUCAGUGGGUUAAGGAUCCGGCAUUGCGGUGAGCUGUGGUGUAGGUUGCAGACGCGGCUCAGAUCCCACGUUGCUGUGGCUCUGGUGUAGGCCAGCGGCUGCAGCUCUGAUUAGAACCCUGGCCUGGGGACCUCCAUAUGCCACAGGAUCGGUCCUAGAAAAGGUAAAAAGACAAAAAAAAAAAAAAAUUAUGUAUGUGCCCUUUGUUAUACUUCUAUUGAACAACAAUGCUUUGGAGGAAAAAAAAGCUUAAGAAGAAAGAUGUUAUCUGUGUUGUUUACUGGAAAUAUAGAUCCACAUUUAGAACCAUAGUUGAUAUAUAAUAGGUGUUCAAUAAAAACUUGUCUGUUGAGGUAAUAAUCUUUUAUUAAAAAAAAAUAGGGUCGCUUGACUAGUAGCUCUUGGAAAUGCUCUAUCUCUUCUUUUAUCAGAGUAUUUGACAAAAACUGUCAAUUGUUCACAACAGAUUCAAAGUCAGUUGAAGAGUCAUGCCCCAGGGAUGUUGAUUUGAGGUCACUGGGACAAACUACUUUCAGAAGGAAAGAGGGGAAGCAAGUUCAAAUUAUUGGAUUUCACUGAAUCUGUCACCAUCUAUUAUAAAUGCUGUGUUAUUUUAUAUACAACUAGGAAAAAAAAUGCUACCAAAUACACUAAAACACAGGAUUGAUUCUCAGCUGUCAUCUCAUUUCAGAGGUGGUAAAAUGCAUUAGAAUCAAUGAAAUACAGUAUAAAGUUCCCCCCAAAGGAAGGCGAUAAUCCCAACAGUCCAGCCAGACCCCAUAUGGACCAUUAUGUAUGGAGGCUGAGGUUUUUGUCCCUCUCUGGUGGGAAGAGGAUUUUUGGUAAAACGGUUAGGAAAACAAUAUUUUUGUCAUAGUAACUCUUUGAAAAUAUGCUACGAGAGGAGCUCCCUUUGUGGCUCAUUGGUUUAAGAACCUGACACUGUGUCCGCGAGAAUGUGGAUUCAAUCCCUGGCCUUACUCAAGUGGGUUAAGGAUCCAGCAUUGCCACAUGCUGCAGUGUAGCUGGCAGAAGCACUGGUGUUGCUGUGGCUGUGAUGGAGGCUGGCAGCUGCAACUCUGAUUGGACCCCUACCCUGGCACCUUCCAUGUGCUGCAGGUGAGGCCAUUAAAAAAACAAAAAAAGAAAAUGUGCUAUGAGAGAUGGUCCGAAGGUGGUGUUGGACUCGCCCAGUUCUAAAGGAGUUGGGACACUUAAAUGGACUCUUAGGGACAAAGUAGGGAACUUAACUACCCUUCGAGGGAGGAUCAAAGCAAUGCUGGGCAUGGAGGGAAGAGGGAGGGACCCCUGAGACAGCAGGGAAGCCCUCAGGGUUGGCUGUAAACCUUUUCAGAAGAAAGCAAUGCUCUGGAAUGUCCUUUGAGCCUUGCGUGGUUGUGGCAAAGGGAUAGUCCAUUUUUUUUUCCUUAUGAUAGAUGAGGACGGCACCCCUCUGGAGGGUCCAGGUCGCAUGAACUAUUUUGACUGAAAUAGCUAAAUAAAGAUGCUAACAAAUAGGGAGCUAUCUAGACCAAUAACUCUCAGGCAAUGGUUUGCCAACCGUGAGCACUGGUGGGCUCUUUGUCACUGUGCGCACCUUAGGGUAGGGUAGGGGUUACAGAGCGGGGAGGUGGGUCAGUGGAACUUCACUUCAGCUCCUUAUUGUUUGUCUCUAUUCUGCUUCCACGCAAGUUUUCUCAUAGCCCAGUGAUGCCUGGACCACUUUCGAAUUUGAAGUCUUCUUACUCAUAGGUUUAUUUUUCAAUUUUUAGAAUUGCUUAUCAGAGGUUGAUAGGCUACAGUUAGAAUUAACAGUUAUGAUAAGACCAUGGAGUUCCCACUGUGGCUCAGCAGGUUAAGGACCCGACAUAGUCUCCAUGAGGAUGCAGGUUCAAUUCCUGGCAUCACUGAGUGAGUUAAGGAUCCAGCAUUGCCUCAAGCUGUGGCGAAGCUCUCAGCUACAGCUCUGGUUUGACCCCUAGUCUGGGAACUUCCAUACGCCGCAGGUGCAACCACAAAAAGAAAACAAGAACAUUUAUAAGACUUCUCCUUUAUCACUGGAAAUAGCUUAUAUAUGAGAAUACCUUGAAUUGAGAGCUCUAGUCUAAUGGUCCUCUUGCUCACUACCUUCCCUUGAAAGUCCUGCUUCUGUAUAAGAUCUUGUUUGCUGUCCAUACACCACUUGGCUAACAUCAUUUUGAAAACCACUAAUCUGAAACAGUGGUUUUAACCAUGGUCAAACAUUGAUAGGCUUUGCCAUCACAACACCUUUGAUGUUACAACACAGAUUCUUGGGUCCCAUCCCAGAACCACUAAGUCAGAAUCUCAGGCGGUUGUCCAAUAAUAAAACCAAUUGCUUGGCAAACAGGUGACCUCUUCAUCACUGAAUGUGUUCAAGUAGGGGGUAGAUGAUCAGAUUUAAGUAAAGUCCAUGUAAUUUUUUUGGGGGGGGGCUUGAGAGUUACCUUGACUUAGAAAAUUGAAUGUUACCUCCAAAGCUAUAAGUUUCUGACUUUAUGCCUAAAGUUCCCCCAGUUUCUCUGCCCUUGGCAUUAGGGUACGGGUAGGCUCAUGGACUGAAACAAGAGAGGUCCAGGCACUCAGUGGAGUGUUAACCCUCCCAGAAAUACUCACUAGUACUUUAACAGGAAUAAGUCUUCUUCAUGGUAAUUAUGCAUUGGUUCUGAUACAUUUCCCAGACAGAAGAAAUCAAUAUAACCAAUUAAAGGACAGAGAGAGACAAUGACAAGGGUAAUUCAAAUUCAUCUUUCAGUUAGGAGAUAAUAAAUUUUUCCAUUUGAAUAUUGAAUACCUAUUGAUAGAAUAUAAACCUGAAAAUACAACUUAAUUAGCAAGCGCUGACUCAACAGGGGUUACAGUACUUUCCAGCUUCCUCUCUUCUCUCCACCUCAUUUUCUCCUUCCUCUCCCCCAUCCAGGGAUAGGGAGCAAAAACUCUAGGCUGAGCAUGUCAGUCUCUGCCUCUCUCUCUCUCUCUCAAUCUAAUCAUGUAGGUUCAGCCCUGCCCUACUUCUGAGCCAGUCCUGAGUGAAUUGGACAUACAUGUUUCCCUUCAUUCAACAAAUAUUCAUUGAGCCCUUGAUUUGAAACACGCCCUAUAUUAUGUGAUGGGAAUAAAGAUAUGAAGGACAUAAUCUCUACUCCUUCAGGUAGAGAAGCAAAUAGGGAAUUCUAGUCAUCAAGCUUCCAUUAAUCCAAUGUCUAAUUAUGAGCACUCCUUUGUAUCAGCCUUUUCUUAUACCCACUCACACGUGCCCAAGCCAUUCAAAGGGAUUUUUACCUCCACUUCUCAAUUGCAAUUCAGUUCUUAUGUUGGAAUUGUAGGCCUGCCUUGAGCCUUAUCCCACUUGAUUGAAAUCCCACUAAGAGGUCUCUGUUUAUUCUCCAGGGGCCAGAGUUGAUACUAUUGAUACCAGGAUCCAACUGAUGUGGCCCCUUGCUAUCUCUUCCUUUCCACCCCCAUGCUGCCACCUGCCUGAUUUGGCUGUAAGGAGGGGUUCCUGGGUGUCAUCAAUCUGAAGGUAUAGAUGGAAUCCUAGAAACCAUAAUGGUACUCAUUUUGGGGACCACUGGCAGUCAUGAGUAUGGGUUCUAUAAUACGACUGAUGGAGUUAUCAGCACUUUCCUUUUUUCAUUCCUGGAUCCCUUCACUCCAAUAAUUACUGGGGCCAGAGGCCC
rnacentral:lncRNA from 1 species